rnacentral:rRNA from 1 species
UACGUAGGUGGCAAGCGUUGUCCGGAUUUACUGGGCGUAAAGAGCGCGCAGGCGGUCGUUCAAGUCGCGUGUGAAAGCCCCCGGCUCAACUGGGGAGGGUCACGCGAUACUGAUCGACUCGAAGGCAGGAGAGGGUAGUGGAAUUCCCGGUGUAGUGGUGAAAUGCGUAGAUAUCUGGAGGAACACCGGUGGCGAAGGCGGCAUCCUGGACCGGUAUUGACGCUGAGGCGCGAAAGCCAGGGGAGCAAACAGG